rnacentral:lncRNA from 1 species
AAACCAAGUCUUAUUCAUAAGUUUGCCUUGUUUUGAAGUCAUGUUAGCCAACUUUGACAAGGACAGUUCUCCCUGAAUGUUUUAGGUGGGCUAACACUAACACAAAGCUAUACAUGGAGGUCAUCUGCUAUCAGAAGAAACCUGUCUGUCUGGGCAUUCAACUAUAGGCUCAGUCUCAUGAAUCUGAGGUACAUGAGCCCCAAACCAUCUCUUCACUUCAGCAGGCAAGCUAACAUUUC